ensembl:lncRNA
CCAGGACCAUAAUGAACCCUGACUCCCACAGACACUCAGGAUCCACCUGCCCAAGCUGCAUGAACCUGUUGUUGAUGUCAGAGAGUCAAACUCUGCUGAAGAGUGGGUUGUUUCCUGUUCAGCCACUGGUCGACCUGCUCCCACUGUAACACUCAGUGUCUCACAGUACAACACUGUCAUGUGUCCAACACCAACGCUACAGUCACUGUCACCACUACAGCUGUGCUCUCAGGUUCACGUAAACACAGCACACAGGUGGGAUGUGCAGCACGAGUGCUCUCUGCUCCUCACAGAGAGGUGAUGGAGACGAUUCCUGAGGUGGACUUGUUGGUGUGCUUUGGAUCAAGUGCACUUCAGCUUGUGGUCGUGAACAGAUGCCAGACAUUCUCCUUCAGGAUCCCAGAAACU